AUUGAACGCUGGCGGCAUGCCUUACGCAUGCAAGUCGAACGGGCAGUUAUCUUCGGAUGGCUGUCAGUGGCGGACGGGUGAGUAAUGUCUGGGAAACUGCCUGAUGGAGGGGGAUAACUACUGGAAACGGUAGCUAAUACCGCAUAACGUCGCAAGACCAAAGAGGGGGACCUUCGGGCCUCUUGCCAUCGGAUGUGCCCAGAUGGGAUUAGCUAGUAGGUGGGGUAACGGCUCACCUAGGCGACGAUCCCUAGCUGGUCUGAGAGGAUGACCAGCCACACUGGAACUGAGACACGGUCCAGACUCCUACGGGAGGCAGCAGUGGGGAAUAUUGCACAAUGGGCGCAAGCCUGAUGCAGCCAUGCCGCGUGUAUGAAGAAGGCCUUCGGGUUGUAAAGUACUUUCAGCGGGGAGGAAGGGAGUAAAGUUAAUACCUUUGCUCAUUGACGUUACCCGCAGAAGAAGCACCGGCUAACUCCGUGCCAGCAGCCGCAGUAACAC
rnacentral:rRNA from 1 species